rnacentral:misc_RNA from 1 species
GAUGAAGAACGCAGCGAAAUGCGAUAAGUUGUGUGAAUUGCAGAAUUCAGUGAAUCAUCGAAUCUUUGAACGCACAUUGCGCCCUUUGGUAUUCCUUAGGGCAUGCCUGUUCGAGCGUCAUUUAAACCUUCAAGCUCAGCUUGGUGUUGGGUGACUGUCCGCCGCCUCCGGGCGCGUGGACUCGCCUCAAAAUUAUUGGCGGCCGGUACAUUGGCUUCGAGCGCAGCAGAAACGCGAACUCGGGCCCGUCGUAUUGGCUCCCAGAAGCUAUCUUCACAAUUUUGACCUCGGAUCAGGUAGGGAUACCCGCUGAACUUAAGCAUAUCAAUAAGCGGAGGA